GACGAACGCUGGCGGCACGCCUAACACAUGCAAGUCGAACGGCCUUAAAAUAGCUUGCUUUUUUUAGUUAGUGGCGGACGGGUGAGUAACACGUGAGCAACCUGCCUCUCAGAUGGGGAUAGCUUCUGGAAACGGAUGGUAAUACCCCAUAAAAUAUAAAUAUCGCAUGAUAGCUAUAUCAAAGUAAUUCGCUCAGAGAUGGGCUCGCGUCUGAUUAGAUAGUUGGUGAGGUAACGGCUCACCAAGUCGACGAACAGUAGCCGGACUGAGAGGUUGAACGGCGACACUGGGACUGAGACACGGCCCAGAAUACUACGGGAGGGAGGAGUGGGGAAUAUUGCACAAUGGAGGGAACUCUGAUGCAGCGAUGCCGCGUGGAGGAAGAAGGUUUUCGGAUUGUAAACUCGUUUUAUCAGGGACGAUAAUGACGGUACCUGAAGAAAAAGCACCGGCUAACUACGUG
rnacentral:rRNA from 1 species